rnacentral:rRNA from 1 species
UACGUAGGGUGCGAGCGUUAAUCGGAAUUACUGGGCGUAAAGCGUGCGCAGGCGGUUCUCCAAGUCCGUUGUGAAAGCCCCGGGCUCAACCUGGGAAUGGCAGUGGAAACUAGGGGACUGGAAUCUGGCAGAGGGGGGUGGAAUGCCGCGUGUAGCAGUGAAAUGCGUAGAGAUGCGGCGGAACACCGAUGGCGAAGGCAGCCCCCUGGGCUGAGAUUGACGCUGAGGACGAAAGCGUGGGGAGCAAACAGGAUUAGAACCGU